GCAACAAGAUUUCAAAUGCAAUAGGCCUACUUUAUUAUGGCGUCUAGUAUCACCCCCGAUAUUUUGUCCUAUUCUGAGCAAAAAGGGCAUGAUGAGCCCGCUGAAGAAUCAGGAGAGAGUAGCCAAGGCAGUGAACAUCGUGUUAAAGGAGAGCCCAUAAGGCCAAUACCACGAAGAGCCUCGGCAUGGCGUGCUAUGAAUGCCGAGGAUCUGGGAAUUUUCUGGUGUAGAGAAAUGUAUGGAUACGAUGAAAUAUUCGAAAAAGCCCGUGUUCAGCAUGUUGAUGAUGGAUGUGGCAUUGCUGGUUGGGAAAACCUGGACAAGUUGGUCUCCCUCUACUCAAAAUACAUGGAUAACGUUUUUCGUUGCUCGCCAGCUGAAAUUAAGGAAGUAAACUUGAUUAUGACACGUUCUGAAUGCGCGAAAGAAGCUGAUCUGAUGCUGGUUCGUGAUGUUUGUGAUAAACUGAAAGAAAAUAUCAGCCGGCUUACUCUUCCUGAAACUUCGAGGAUAUGUGCAACACAGAUGAUGAUGGCUCAACCAUCGCCUUCGACAGAUUUCAAUGCCUGUAAACUCUUGGUGGACACUCGCUUGCCUAUACGAAGAGAUGGAGGCAGACCUAGCUGAUUGGCUCGAUGAGAGGCGUGCCCUGGGAAUGGCGAUAUCACAUCACAACAUCAAAGAUGCAUCGAGGGAACUGUAUCAACAGUGAAAUCCAGGUACACUUAUAUUUUUGCAACGAUUUGAAUCCAUCCUGCUGCGCUUCCUCAAGGGCAAGAAACCAUCGGAAAUAAAUUACCAAACACUAUUUGCAGAAUUUGCUAGUAUCUUUAUCAUAACCUUCUGUCCUGGAGAUAUGCAGCAAAUGGAUAUAUUUGGGAAAAAAGUGACCUCGACACCAGAUCUUCGCUAUGUUAAAUGCAAGGAUCAAGAUGUUUUAGUGGCGACAAUAGCUGAGGUUAAAAAAAUGCCAAAAAUAGCAGGUGGCCCUCCAGAGAAGCGUCGGCGCUUAAUUGAUGAGGACAUCAGUGAUGAUAGUGAUGAUGAUGAUGAGGAGGAGGAUUCUUUCUUGAGUGAUAAACUGCGUGGGCAGCAUGCAGCUGAGCUCCUACUUGAAGUAUCGGAAUCAAUCCUCCCCAUACAUGAGAAAAAAAGGCAUGUCCUGGGAUUGAUUAUACAAGGAACAAAUGUCUGUUUGACGGGUUUGGAAAUAGAUGAGGACCAUUUCAAGCAACUGCAGGAGCCUGUUUACAAAGAGCUUAAAGAUGAAAAGGCAAUGAUAUACCACACACGAUCCUAUGACAUGUUCAUCAAGGAAGAUCGUCAUCACCUUAUCAAAAUCUUGUUAACUUUGGUCAAAUUAGCCGACAAUAGGUAUUUGAUGCAUCUCCUUUACCCACAGGAUAAGCUAUGAAUAAAAAUUUCGAUGCUUGUUUUAGUUUUCUCUAUAAAGUGCAAAGGUGGGAACAGUGCUGUAUCGAUUUUGAGUCUGAUCCAGAACCCAAUACGGCUGCCAGAUGGCAAUCUCGCUUUUAAAUUUUUCUUUACUUACUAUGAACAUGUUAGUCUUGUUAUGAUCUAAACCUCUUCUUAUAAUGAACUGAAAAUUUACACUGUUAUAAAUUUGUCUCUGAAUUUGGUAUUUUUACUAAUCAAUUAUGUUUGAUGUAAUGAAUGAGUCUGAAUGAACUAACAUAGUGGAAGGUGUAUUUCAAGCCACACUUACUCUACAUGUAUUUCUUGGAGAACCAGCAUUACAGUCUUUGUUGCAAUCAAUAAUGAUGUGGGAGAGGAGCAAUUAGGAUACCAAAACCUAUUUCAGAAGGGGGGUCUUUGAGCCAAAUUAUUGGGACAUGAAUUUGUACAAACACAAACUAUAAGGAAAACGUUUUGGUGAAAACGUGGCACAACAGUACAAAAUCUUUUCGAUUUUUUUCGAUGGGAGUCUGACGAAAAGUUCGCUACUCUGAAAUUAAUGAUGGCAUUGCAACCAAAUUUAAUGUAUCUAUGUACUCGUAACAGUAUCCCCAGUUUUCAAUGUAAUCCGGUGACAAAUAUGGCCACUGCCAUCUUGAAUAUUACACUCCCUAGACUGUUGAACAUACUGCAUUGACAUUUAUUACGCGAGGUGAGCACAAGGUCCCUGGACCAUUCAUUUUUCCAGAACAGGUCACAUUUUCUGGUGCGGUUUUUUUUGUUAAUACAGAAUGACACAAAAUAAUUACAAUCAAGGAUGCCUAUAAUUGCAUCAAUACUUAUAGAGGAAACUAUUUUUCUCUUUUAACGUUUAACUUGCAUUGUAGUAUCGCUUUUUUGGUGACAGGGUAUAUCUACUGCAUAUGUAUGUAUAUUGCCAUGCCUUUUUGCUUCAUUCCUAUGAUCAUUUUAUCUUUCACUCACUCCCUGGUGUCUGUGUUAACUGUAUGUAAUGUCUCUUUCAAGUUUAGUCUGUAUUUCAUUAUGUGCUUGGUACACCUUUUUGGACGCUGACGAUGAGCUAGUUGUCAUUUCUAGAACAUGGUACUGGGUAUUAAAAAUAUGGCCACUUUUUUGUUUCUGUUUGAAAAUGGUUUAAAAAGAGACCCAACAUUUUUCCCAUACAAUACAUGUAUCUUCCCUUUUUAAUGAAAAUGCCUUAAGAUUAUUUUAGCAUUUGUUUUCUCAGUUUUGAUACUUUUUGUUCACAAAUUAGCAUAAAGAUUGUGUCUAUCUAAUGGCAGAUUUUUUUGGGUUUUGAACCAGAAUGAUGCUAACAUCAAAAGCUUCAGAAAGUGGCCAGAGAAAAGAGGAUACAGUUAAGUUGAUGAGCUGCCUAAGUUUACUUUGACAAAAAAUGUUUGUAGAAUUCAGAAGAUGAUUCAAGAAACCAUGUCUAAAUGUGCAACUGUUGUUACAAAGACAUUCACUGAUCACUUUCUAUCAUAACUUGACUUGAAAUAAACCCCAUGACUCUAGCAAAGGUACACAAGUCUUUUUAACCAAAGAUGGAUGAUCAUGUUAAAGGAGUUUGCCCGGCUUUAUGGCCCUGUUCAGUAUGUCUCACUGAUAGUGGCUCUGAGAUGGAGAAUGAUUAUGGAUUUUUAGAUUCGUUCAAUUUAAAGCCAGUCCCCAGAAUGCAGUAUGGUAUGAGAAUGUGCAAACUCCAGCUUUUUUGUAUGACCAGCUCAUGAUACAAGUCAGACCUUAUCUACUUUAUCUACAUGUAUGUAUAGAAAUUUUAAAAAGAAACUGAAAAAAGUACCAAACAAAUUAAGUGAUUUGCGAAUGAAAUAUUCACAUUAUGCUGACAACUGCAUUGAAUUUGGUGUAUUAGCUUGUGAGUGAUCAUACAUGUUUGAAUAGGUGUUGAUAAUUCACACAAGCUGGUACAUUUUAAUUUUUUUAGACAUUGAUAUUACUAUAAUGCACAUCAAACAUAAGAUUUUAUUGUCUUAUGCUACCAGGUGAUUUGACAUUGUUGUUGUUGAAAACAUUUUGUGUAUCGAUCUCGUACUUUUUCACAGUUUAGGAGAUCAUUAAUAUGUUUUGUGUAUUUUGUUUAUUUUUACUUGCAUGCAUAAAAGUUACAUUCACAGGCAGCAAAAAAGGAAAUGAUUGAAAUUAGGCCUAUUGGUACAGGAUUGUCGAAGUGCUAAUGCAAUUUCUUGAACUAAAAUGACUGCAAAUAUUUAUGGGUUUAUAGCACAAUGUUAACACGAAGUUGUUUAGGCGAAAGGACUGUGCCAUUUCGCAAUGGAAUCAUGGGAUUGCCCUCUCCCAAUACCAUGGCUGGUCGAUCAAGUUAAUUUUCAGUUCGCAAUCCCUUGAUUCAAAUCAUCAUAUAACACACUACAGUUCAUUUUAAGAACACUGACGUUCAUAUUUUGAAUACAAUGCAACUGAAUUGCGUUCUACAUGUAGGUCACUUUUAGUUUUUGAUUGCAUUAUUAAGUAUGUAUGUACAUUUUAUGUGCUUUUUUACAAGGAAACUGAAUUAUAUGCCAAAAUGUUUAGCUGCCUGGUACGCAAUGGGCCAUCUACCGAUAAUGCUAAUUGCUGAAUGGACUUGAGUAUAUUAAAGUAUACCCGUGUUAAUUCUUGAGGAGAGACCAAGCUAAUAUUCUGUUGUGUUCAGAAAGUGUCAUUUGGCUGUUAAAUACUAGUAUUCAAUUGUAAGAAAUAAAUUAUGGUACUGAUUCAAA